AUGACAUAUAAUAUAGAAUUAAGACAGAAAAUUAAAGAAAAAGAGUUGAGAAUAGAGAAUAUUGCCCCAUUUGGUGUCUCUUUUAUCAAGUGCUUGAUUGAUCCUCGUCCCCCCAUGUCAUUGCAAGUUGCAUCUUGCAGAACACAUCAAACAACAAAGAAGAUUAGAAAAAUAGAAGACAUAACCAGAAGACAAUAUGAACACAUCAAAAGAGUAAAGACUUUUGCUUUGCUCACCCAAUUUGCAAUGCCAUUUGGCUCCCAAUUGCAGCACCAGGACCCGGACGCCCUUCACUCUCACCCACGGAUGAUUGGCUACGGGCUGUGCCGCUCGCAGAUGCCAUGGUUUGGUACCUAUCAGGCCAACAACAAGCAAUCAAUUCCUAUCAAGAGCAGCAGCAUCCAGCAGCACAAGCAAAGAGCAGAAAGCAGCAAGCAUCAGAUCCAAUAA
rnacentral:rRNA from 1 species